AGUUUGUAAAGUGGUGCAGAGCCCUGUGUGCAGCUGAAUCUUAAAUCGCACAGAGCUUGGAUCUGUUCACUAGCAAAUAAUUGCUGCAAGGACUGCUCUGUUUCGUUAUUCCAGUCCUUGGACAGGAAGAGUCCUUCUGUGUGGCUUUGAGCCUCAUGUCUGCUAUAGUAUUUAUCCUACCACCUGCAAGAUUUGCCACCAAGGUAAAAUCUGAGAAGAGAUGAAAGGAUGGUGCCACUUUACAGAGGUAGCAAAUCCUCUGAGGGAUGGAGUCAACUGUAAAAUGACAGAAAUGACAGUGGUCAGUGAAAGAAAUCUGGGACUUCUACACUUCAGGCAUUCAGUAAGGAAGAUGAAACAAACAGCACAGGGUGAAGUCUCAGUGAGAAGACCUUCCUGUGCCACAGAGAAGGACAGGACAUUGACAGCUUUGAGUUCUCAUGAAUUUUCAGCAGUGAGUCCAUCUGGGAAUAAUUUGUUUGUGAGAAGAAGGCUUCCAUUCUAUCAAGAAAAAAGGCUGCACGGAAUUCACAAAACACUAGAGCAGAAAGUACCAGUCAUUGUUUGA
rnacentral:lncRNA from 1 species